AUUGAACGCUGGCGGCAUGCCUUACACAUGCAAGUCGAACGGUAACGGGCCUUCGGGUGCCGACGAGUGGCGAACGGGUGAGUAAUGCAUCGGAACGUACCUUUCAGUGGGGGAUAACGUAGCGAAAGUUACGCUAAUACCGCAUAUUCUGUGAGCAGGAAAGCAGGGGAUCGCAAGACCUUGCGCUGAUUGAGCGGCCGAUGUCAGAUUAGCUAGUUGGUGAGGUAAAGGCUCACCAAGGCGACGAUCUGUAGCGGGUCUGAGAGGAUGAUCCGCCACACUGGAACUGAGACACGGUCCAGACUCCUACGGGAGGCAGCAGUGGGGAAUUUUGGACAAUGGGGGCAACCCUGAUCCAGCUAUGCCGCGUGAGUGAAGAAGGCCUCGGUUGUAAGGUACUCUUUCGGUCCGGGAACGGAAAUACGCAUGGUUAAGUACCUACGUGCGGAGUGACGGUACCGGAAGAAGAAG
rnacentral:rRNA from 1 species